AAGACGUACGACUACUUCCUCUACGUCGUGUCAUCGCUUCCGCAGUCGGUCUGCGUUGGGUUCGUUUCUCCUUCCAGCAUCCUAAAAUCGGCAUCCUCGAGGGGUGCACUAAUGCUACGAGUGUCGAUGUUGAAAGCAUUUGUACAUUCUAGGAGCUAAUGUGGGUGUAUCUGUGAUCACUUUGUCACAAGUAAGUGUCCGUGUAAUUCCUGAAAGUUGUAUGAAGUACUCCGUCUGUUCAUAACAUAAGAUGUUAUUACAUCUAUUGUACUCAUAUAUUGGAUGUAAUAACAUCUUAUAUUAUGGGAUGGAGGGAGUACCUAAUCCAGUUCAAUGACAGUUUAGUUCUUUAUUGGAGCCUUGGAAUUUCAACUUUAAACUUGUUCCCAGAUAUUGUUAGUCUUCGGUCUUGUUAGAAGCUUCUUU